rnacentral:tRNA from 1 species
GGAUGUAGCUCAGUGGCAGAGAGCCUGCCUGGCAUGCAUGAGGCCCUGAGUUCAAUUCCCAGUAACC